rnacentral:rRNA from 1 species
AUUGAACGCUGGCGGCAGGCUUAACACAUGCAAGUCGAGCGGAGACUUCGGUCUUAGCGGCGAACGGGUGAGUAAUACCUAGGAAUCUGCCUAUUAGUGGGGGAUAACGGGCUCGAAAGGGUCGCUAAUACCGCAUACGUCCUACGGGAGAAAGUGGGGGAUCUUCGGACCUCACGCUAAUAGAUGAGCCUAGGCCGGAUUAGCUAGUUGGUAGGGUAAAGGCCUACCAAGGCGACGAUCCGUAGCUGGUCUGAGAGGAUGAUCAGCCACACUGGAACUGAGACACGGUCCAGACUCCUACGGGAGGCAGCAGUGGGGAAUAUUGGACAAUGGGGGCAACCCUGAUCCAGCCAUGCCGCGUGUGUGAAGAAGGCCCUCGGGUUGUAAAGCUCUUUUGUUGGGGAAGAAAGCAGUUGGUUAAUACCCGAUUGUUCUGACGGUACCCAAAGAUAAGCACCGGCUAACUUCGUGCCAGCAGCCGCGGUAAUGUACAGUGU